rnacentral:tRNA from 1 species
GGAGGGGUAUGUUUUGUACGGGAUGAG